rnacentral:lncRNA from 1 species
ACUUUUCAAGACCGGUCUCUCUCUCUUUCUCUCUCUAUCGAUCUCUUCCUCUCCUCCUUCUCUCUAGAACCUUCUGGUUCUUCUUCUCCGAUGGCCUUCACCAUCUCUCCGCCCACCUCCAGCCUCGCCUCUUUCGACCACCAGUCGCUUUGAAGCCUUAUCUCACCGGUUCUAUCCAUCCCUAAGACUCUAGAAGUCUUCACCAUGCAAGAUGGUCGCUGAAGCUUUGCCUACAUUUGUUUUCUGCCUUUCUUCGAUGGGUUUUGGUCUGAUGGUGCUACAAACACUAUUAUUCCUAAAGUUUCAUAGCCAGGUUUCUCUUACUUCUCUCACUGGUUUCUUAUGAAACCCUAAUCUCGACCAAACCUUUUAAAUCUUUGUAUUUUUGAUGAUUUUUAACUCACGCCUUUAUGUUUUGCAUUACUCUCUACUCAAUCUUUACGAUUGCUCAAGUUAUAAACAUUUUUGUUCCCUUUUUGAAACUAGGGUUUCUAAACUUCGCUCCUUUCGACCAUCAGUCACCUUGAAGCAUUAUCUCAUCAGUUCCCUUCAUCCCUGAGACCCCAUGAGUAUUCACCAUGCCAUAUGGUCACCGAAGCUUUGCCUGGGUUUGUUUCCGGCCUUUCUCCGAUGGGUUUUGCCUCGAUGGUGCUAUAAACACCAUUAUUCCUAAGUUUCACAGUCAUAUUUCUCUUACUUCUCUCUCUAGUUUCUUAUGAAGCCCUAAUCUCAACCCAAACCUCUUAAAUCUCUGUAUUUUUUUAUAAUGUUUAAUUCAAACCUUUAUGUUUUGCACUAUUCUCUACUCGAUCUUUACGAUUAUUCAAGUUUUAAACGUUUUUGUUCCCUUUAAAAACUAGGGUUUCUUGACCCCUUUUCAAAAAUAUUUUAUCUUCUGAUUUUGAGUACUAAUUCAUGAUUCUCAGUACUAUUUCUAAAUCAUUUUUGCUUAAGCCUCAUUAUUUUGAUGAAAUCCUAGCUUUAGUGUUUAUAAUUGUAUUAUUUUGUCGUGUUUUCUUGUUUGUGUGUUAUUCUGGAUUCUUCUCUGAAUUCUUUGCUCUUUACUUUAAUUUUGUUGCUAAUGUUUCAAUCCCCUAAUGUUCUGUGUUCUCUUCUUAGGGUUUCUCUGAUAUGGUUCAAUAUAGGCUAGGUAUUGUUUAAUAAACUUGACUAUUCAUCCUAUUGAUUGUUUACAUGGUGAUUUUAUACUCAUUCUUACAAGCUCCCUUUAAGACUGUGACACUUGCCUUAAAAAUUGUGAUUUUGGUGUAUUUUCCUUAUAGUUUGGUAUUUGAUUUCGAAUUGCUUCUUUAAUUUGUGGAAUACCUUCCUCAAUUAUUACUAAUCCCCUAGAUUUUCAAUCUCGUUCAUUAUUUUGAGACUAUUUUCCAGAAUUAAAGUAGUAUUUUUCCCUAUAUAUGUGCACAAAUAUGUUGUUGAUUUGUCUGACAUAUUUUCCUAAUUAAGUAUCAUGACCUAGUCUUUAUUGUAUACCUUAUACUAUUCUGUUCCUUGUGUGAUCAUACUAUGCUUUAUGAUUUCUUUUCUUUUAAAUAAUUUCUUAUUACCAUUUGACUAUGAUUCCUUAAUUAAAGGGUAGUCCUUUUGCUAAUUUGAUUAUGAUUGAUACUCAGUUCCUUAAUUAUUGUUGAAUUAUUGAUUUCUACCUUAUUUGUUUACUCGUAUUCAGUACUAUAAGUACCCUCAUUCUCUUUUUCAUUACACGCUGACACAUUGCAUAUCGCAAACAAACACAACAAUAAACAUUGCUCUUUCUCUUCUGGUACUUCUCUCUUUUGAUCUAUUGUUGUUCCCUACUCCUGACUAUUAUUAGCCGGCUGAAAAGCCAUGCUAAUAUUGUGCUCAUAUUGGAUCUUGCACUCUGAUGUGCUCUCUUGUUGAUAGUAUGUCCUAAUUAAUUUCAAAGUUCAAAACCAAUGUGGUUAUUACUACUUCAGUGUGUUAUAUUCUUAAUUGUUUUCUACCUAUGCUUCUACUGUGCAACAUGUAAUUGACUCCCUAGUUGCCUGUUGAUAAUUUCAUGCUCAUGACCAAUGUUUGAUCCUAAUCUUUCCUGUUAUGACUAUAUUCUGUUACCGCCUACUAAUAUUUCUAAAUUCGACCAUUCCUAGGUCCCUUAAAUCUCUUUGAUUUUGUGUACUCAUGCUUAGUGAGUUUGCAUAAGUCUCUGCAUCUCUUGGUGAUAUUAUGUGAUCUAGUUGUCCCCUUUGCCCAAUACCCCUGUGUGCAACUCUCCAAUUUUUGUAAACUCUUUAAACUAUAAAUUUUCCUCUUCUUCCUGCACUUCACAUUACUCUUAGAAAUUAGGUUCUACUCCCUACGUGUAAGCAUUGCCUUGAUUAUCCCUAAGUACUCAUUAAACUUUGAUACACGAGGGUGGUAAUUUCACAUUGCACCCGUCCAAUAUUUUGGUAAGUUUUUGGGUGCUGGUAUUGACCAUGGACUCAAUGAGGGCCCUAGGGAGCUUUGCCGCACCCUGACCAUGUCAAUGCUAUAAAACUCGAAAGGAGUGAGGUUGGAAGAAUUGGCUUGAUUGAAGGC